GACGAACGCUGGCGGCGUGCUUAACACAUGCAAGUCGAACGGUAAGGCCCUUCGGGGUACACGAGUGGCGAACGGGUGAGUAACACGUGGGUGAUCUGCCCUGCACUUCGGGAUAAGCCUGGGAAACUGGGUCUAAUACCGGAUAGGACCACUGCCUGCAUGGGUGGUGGUGGAAAGCUUUUGCGGUGUGGGAUGGCCCGCGGCCUAUCAGCUUGUUGGUGGGGUGAUAGCCUACCAAGGCGACGACGGGUAGCCGGCCUGAGAGGGUGACCGGCCACACUGGGACUGAGAUACGGCCCAGACUCCUACGGGAGGCAGCAGUGGGGAAUAUUGCACAAUGGGCGCAAGCCUGAUGCAGCGACGCCGCGUGAGGGAUGACGGCCUUCGGGUUGUAAACCUCUUUCAGCACCGACGAAGCGCAAGUGACGGUAGGUGCAGAAGAAGGACCGGCCAACUACGUGCCAGCCGCCGCUGUAA
rnacentral:rRNA from 1 species